rnacentral:rRNA from 1 species
UACGGAGGGUGCAAGCGUUAUCCGGAUUCACUGGGUUUAAAGGGUGCGUAGGAGGGCAGGUAAGUCAGUGGUGAAAUCCCCAAGCUUAACUUGGGAACUGCCGUUGAUACUAUCUGUCUUGAAUACCGUGGAGGUGAGCGGAAUAUGUCAUGUAGCGGUGAAAUGCUUAGAUAUGAACAUAGAACACCAAUUGCGAAGGCAGUUCGCUACACGAAUAUUGACUCUGAGGCACGAAAGCGUGGGGAUCAAACAGGA